rnacentral:rRNA from 1 species
GAGUUUGAUCUUGGCUCAGAUUGAACGCUGGCGGUAUGCUUAACACAUGCAAGUCGAACGGUAAUAGGAGAGAGCUUGCUCUUUUGCUGACGAGUGGCGGACGGGUGAGUAAUGCGUAGGAAUCUGCCUAGUAGUGGGGGACAACGUGUGGAAACGCACGCUAAUACCGCAUACGCCCUACGGGGGAAAGCGGGGAUCUUCGGACCUCGCGCUAUUAGAUGAGCCUACGUUAGAUUAGCUAGUUGGUGGGGUAAAGGCCUACCAAGGCGACGAUCUAUAGCUGGUCUGAGAGGAUGAUCAGCCACACUGGGACUGAGACACGGCCCAGACUCCUACGGGAGGCAGCAGUGGGGAAUAUUGGACAAUGGGCGAAAGCCUGAUCCAGCAAUACCGCGUGUGUGAAGAAGGCCUGAGGGUUGUAAAGCACUUUCAAUUGUGAAGAAAUAUUUAAGGUUAAUAACCUUAAAUUUUAGACGUUAACUUUAGUAAGAAG